UCAGAUAGAGAUCGAAAACUUAGCUUAGGUUGAGCUGAUCGGGAUCGUUGGUACGUGAGCUGGUACUUGCAUUCAAAGAACUCGUAGAUCUGGAACAGUUUGAUCACGGAUUGGAACAGGCUGAUCGUACAAUCUGGAAUAGUUGAGGUGUACUGAAACUUGUAGAGAUCCGUCCACAGAUCGAUCUUGUUGAGAUCAGUGGUCGAAUACAGAUCAGGGUCAUGAUCAAAGAGAGGUGAUCGAUAGAGAUUAGUGUUUUAGCAAUGGAGAGAGAUUUAGGGUUUAUGGUCGAUAUUUUAGCUUAGGGUUUUAGAGAUCAAUCGUGCUGAUAACGUGUUGUGAAAGUAAUGGAAAAGUCUAUCUUUAUUCAUAACAUAGAGGUUCCUUAUAUAGGAGAUUAGACCGUCACAAAUAAAUGGAAAGAGUACAAAUCAUAAUCCAAUUAGGAAAAGAAAAACAUAAAGACAUAAGAAAAAUGAAAAGCUGGCCGACUCUCUCUUUCUUAGGCCGCUGAUGGUAUAAUCUUUUGGUUAUGAGCCAUUCACGAUCUGGUUCAUAAUAUCUUACACAUUUUCAGUAUUUGUUAAGCUACGAGAGCUAGUUAAUUAUUCCAGAACUAUAUUCAUUACAAAGAACUAACUUUUUCAAAAAUUCAUCCCAUUUUCCUUUAACUUUUGCCAUUUCUCAUACCAAUUGUUUCAGAAAUUCAGAUCGCAUCAUACGUCUAGAAAAGAUGGUGUAUGUCCAAUUAGUUGAUUCGCUUGAUUCAACCGACCCAGAAAGUUCUCUGCCGAUACCCGAUUUGAUGUUUGCCCCCUAUGAAGAAUCAGUCAUCGUCCGCCUCCACCACGUGUUCCUGAAGGUUGUCGCCUCAGCCUUCAAUGUCGUGUGCCCAUAAACCUCCGCCUCCACCGCCGUCAUCGUUGUACUUCGAUAAAUCUUUGUCUCGCCGUGUUCUGAAAGACUCCGCCAGAGCCACCGCGCUCCGUUUAGCUGCCUACACCAUCUUCGCUCUUUUAAAGCUUCAGCUCUUUCAAAAGGAGAUCAUAUGUCGUUCUCUUUCUCAAGAUCUCUGUUGUAGAUCUUGAAGAUUUGUCUCAUCCUAAGACCAACAUGGAAUGAGAUGGUCCAACGAAACUGAUUUAUUUGACAAUGAGACGGACAUGGAAUCCAAUUUCUCGCGCCAUAGUUAGUUCCCGAAGGUGGUUUUGGAUUUGCUUCAUGAUAAGUCCUCUAACAGUUUGCUCCGGAUCGAGAUCAUGGGUGGGCCUUCGUUUUAUAGGUAUGAUGGUGAAGGCUGUACGAGGUACAAACUUACUGAAACAUUUAAAGUUUCCUUCUUUUCUAGUAGCAAGAUCUGUUCUUUUCUUCCCUUAGUAACAUCUGAGACACCAGUUUGAUAUUCUUUUAUGUACCUUAUGAUCAGCUAUUGUGUUUGCUCUGCAGAAAAAUAAUAUAUCUAGCCCAACCAAUUCGGAUGAGUGGAUGGUUUAUUAAGCCUGAGUGGGAGGAAUAAGCACGAAAGAGAUGAUUCUUAUGGACCUUGAUUUCUUAUACAAACUAUGGUUUGGCUUUAACGUGAAGCCACUUUGGGGUUGCAACAACCCUAUCUUGCUCCGUAGUGAUUAUUACAAGUGAUGUUCUGACUAAAUGGUUCAAUAUUUAUUUCUGGGGUUGAUGUAAUACUUACUUUUACUUUAUAUUUCAGUUAACAAAAUGAUAUCGCUGGCUAUUGUA